AUAUUAAUAAGGAGAGGAAAAGAAACUAACUAGGAUUCCCUUAGUAACGGCGAGUGAAGCGGGACUAGCUCAGACUGAAAACCUUCGGGGAUGUGGUCUGGAGACUUGAUAUCGAAUGUCAGGAAGCCGAUAAAGUGGUCUGGAAAGACACGCCGAGGAGGGUGACAGCCCCGUUCGUAUCGGUGGAACGACUUAGUAGAUACAGGUUCAUGAGUCGAGUUGUUUGGGAUUGCAGCUCAAAGCGGGUGGUAAAUUCUAUCCAAAGCUAAAUAUCGAUAGGAGACCGAUAGCGCACAAGU
rnacentral:rRNA from 1 species